CUCUCUUUCUGAUUGAGUGUAAGCUGCUAUAUGAAGGGAUCCACAAGACGAAUAAUUAAGGGGGACCUCUGAUCAACAGCCAGCAAGGAACUGAAUCCCUCAGACCCACAACUCACAAGAAACUGAAGCUGAAGCAGAUUCUUCCUCAGUCAAGCUUCAGGACCUGCUUUGCAGAAAGGAUCUCAUUGAGAAUAGCAAAAGGAAGUUGGGAACCAUUACAGUGCCCAGCUGUAUUGGUAGAGGAGACCAACCACACCCUCCACAGCACAGCACCUGGAGAGGAACUGCUGCCAUGACCAUAGAGGACACCCUCUGGAUACAAUGCCAGACUUGAUGUGGGACUGACCAACCUAUGGACCCCAGGCACCACCACCCAGACCUGCUCAGCACCUGAAACAUUCACAGCCGUGGAGAGAGAACUGUUCACUGCUACCAUCCACACUUCUGGGCCCCUUCAGCAGCAGGGUGACAAGGAAGAGGGAAAUCGACUUGGAAAAGAGAGACAGGCUCUCACUAUGUGGCCCAGGUUGGUCUCAAACUCCUGGCCUCCAGUGAUCCUCCCACCUUGGCUGUCCAAAGUGCUGUAAUUACAGGGGACCUCUGACCCAAGAGUUCGGUCAAUGCAUAUGUUGGCAGCCAGCUGCACAUCGCACCAAAUAUGAACUUCAAAUAGAAGAAAGCCUCAUUUGGAAGAAAGCUCAUGCACAGACUGUAAAUAUUUCAGAGCAGAUUGUGUCUCUGUAGAUUAAAACAGGGCAUUAAGGCACAGACACAGAGGGAAGACCUUGUGGAGGCUUGGAGGAAGACAGCCAUCUACUAUCCAAAGACAGAGACAUCAGGAUGUAACCAACCCUACAACACCUUGAUCUGGGACUUCCACCCAGCCUGUGGUGCUGGUCAUGCCAGCCUGAGCAGACUGUCACAGCCGGCUUUUCCUGACUCCCCUUUACAGAGGGCUCCUACCCUUCCUGCCACUCCACAGGGCUAUAGAAAGAUUUUUUAAAGAUCUAUAUGAAGAAUAAGAAGUUAGUCCCUUUCGGACAAAAAUCUUCAGUAAAAUUGAUCUGUGCCCCAGGCACACAAAGAAGCAGGAAUCUGGGUAUUCUCACUGUCAAUAUUCCAUAUGUCUAGCCCCUGGAAACCUAAAACAAGACCAGAGAAUACCAAGGAAGGCAGAUUAUUUGGAAGACAUGGAUGCCAAAGUGCUUCUCAAUCCAGUCUCAGAAGCCAGAGAUGUCAGUGGGUGCUGCUGUUUUAUUUCCUGUGAAUCGGAGGACGAUGAGAAACCAAAUGAAAAUAUUGCCACAGUUAAGAUUGAAAAGAAGGCAAUUUAUGAGUGAGGUGUGGAUUUCAAAUGAGAUCUUCUCUGUUGACAGAGAGCCUUUGCUCUAAGCCAAUACCUGAGCUUCUGCCAGUUUGAACAAUUAUAAUGGAGGAAGGAGAUGAGGGAUUAGAAAAAACAAAGCUGACAGAUGGCAAUUUGUGAAGAGUUGAAUCAACAUAAAUUAUAUCUCAUCAGUGAGCAGAGGAAAGAGAGGAUGUUUUCCAGUGUUCGGCUAACCACUGAGAUGGUGAACAUGCCAGAGGCACAGCAAGCAAACCACUGGGCACCCUCCAGAUCUGGAUGCAAGCACAGAGCUGGAGAAAUACCCUUUAUUGGAAAGCCAUAUGGAUUGCAAAUUGUGGAUAGACAUCUAUUUGAAACAAUACAAUAAAUGAACAUCUGGGA
ensembl:lncRNA MIR3976HG MIR3976 host gene